UGGGGAAUAUUGCACAAUGGGCGCAAGCCUGAUGCAGCCAUGCCGCGUGUAUGAAGAAGGCCUUCGGGUUGUAAAGUACUUUCAGUCGGGAGGAAGGUGGUAAGGUUAAUAACCUUGGCAAUUGACGUUACCGACAGAAGAAGCACCGGCUAACUCCGUGCCAGCAGCCGCGGUAAUACGGAGGGUGCAAGCGUUAAUCGGAAUUACUGGGCGUAAAGCGCACGCAGGCGGUUGAUUGAGUCAGAUGUGAAAUCCCCGGGCUUAACCUGGGAACUGCAUUCGAAACUGGCAGGCUAGAGUCUUGUAGAGGGGGGUAGAAUUCCAGGUGUAGCGGUGAAAUGCGUAGAGAUCUGGAGGAAUACCGGUGGCGAAGGCGGCCCCCUGGACAAAGACUGACGCUCAGGUGCGAAAGCGUGGGGAGCAAACAGG
rnacentral:rRNA from 1 species